rnacentral:misc_RNA from 1 species
AACGCAACUUGCACUUUCUGGGUCUACUAGAAAGUAUAUAUAUUUGAGUAUCAGAAUAAUCUAUCCAACAGCUAGUUGGGACGUGACCUGACUACACGUAGUAGGUCUAAAUGGAUUGCAAUCAAAAUGUGGUAAAAGACGGAUGUUCUUUCCCAUUGACGAUUUAAACUCUGAAUUAUGAUCUCAAAUUAUAUAAGAAUACCCGCUGAACUUAA